UACGCAGGGGGCUAGCGUUGUUCGGAAUUAUUGGGCGUAAAGGGCGCGUAGGCGGCGUGUCAAGUCAGGCGUGAAAGCCCCGGGCUCAACCUGGGAACCGCGCUUGAGACUGGCAUGCUCGAGUUCGGGAGAGGAUGGUGGAAUUCCCAGUGUAGAGGUGAAAUUCGUAGAUAUUGGGAAGAACACCGAUGGCGAAGGCAGCCAUCUGGACCGACACUGACGCUGAGGCGCGAAAGCGUGGGGAGCAAACAGG
rnacentral:rRNA from 1 species